CCCCAGCUCUGUCAGGAUGGUGACACUUCAAAUACCCGAGGCCUUGGUCGUGGAAUUUUUACCCUGGCAGCUUAAAGGAAUACGUCACCCACAAAAUGACCAUUUGUACAUCAGUUACUCUCCUCAUGCUAUGUUAAAUUUGUGAAGAAGACUUUUUUUUCUUGGCAUGUCUCCACGGUGAACGAAGAAUUCACAGAAACAUACGAUGCCAAAAUUUUGUUCUGACAACUGGGCUGACGGUGAAGGCAUUAGAGGACGACUCAGUUUUCUUCACACAUCCAAGGUAACACGAGAUCUCAGUGACGAUAAACAUGAAAUGCGACACCGCUGCUCACCGUGUGAGUAUCUGGAUGAUCUAUCGUGAGACUCUGGGAGUCCAUUCAUGGCCUGUCCUCCUUCCACCUUGGCGGUUCUCUGUGGAAAAACAACAUACAGAGAGUCCUGCAGAGGGCAGUGUCUCCCUGCAGCAGAGGCUGAGUUCAGCCGAGGGCUGCUGCUGAAGCUUUCCUGCUGGGUAGCCUUGGACUCAAACAGUGCACAAAGAGCUCUGGUGCCUGAAGAUUCCCUCUGGGGGAGGAAGUCCAUAGAGCGGCUCCGGCACAAAUUAGAAGUUCGUCCAGAGCCCCAGAGGGCCACACUGUCCCCUCUCUCCGGCGUCCGCCAGUGAUCAUCGGCACAGCUGUCUGAUGCCUGGAAGCAGCAUCAGUUUUUAUAUGUUUUUGGACAGUAUUUUACUGGUUGACAAAUUUGUCACUAAUGAUGAGAAGAAUAAAGGAAAAAUAUGUUUUACCUGAA